rnacentral:lncRNA from 1 species
UUAGAUGACUUGGGCUUUAUAAAAUAAAAUAGGAUUUAUAUUUUGGGUGAUUCCAAGAGUUUUGUAAUAGACAUAUGGGUGAAAUUUUGUGGGUUUUUGUUUAUAAUUGUUUUUAAUAUGUUUUGUGAAUUUGAGCUCGAUCUAAUGGUUAAAUUGAGAAAUAUUGAGGUUUAAGUGGAUUAAGGUCUCAAAAAGUAGAAUUUUAGGUCUAGUGGGGGUUUUUAAGAUUUCUUGCAAUCUACAAGUUGGAUUGGAAUAAAAGUUAUGUGAGAGGAUAUAAGACUUGUUUUUGUAUGUAUGUGAGAAUUUUAAGAUCAAUCAAAUGGUGCAAAAGAGAGAUAUUGGCUCUGAAAGAUUAGCAUCAUGAUUGGAGAGGAAGGCUAGCCAAUACUUGAGCAUAUUUUUGAGGUUAUCGUCAAUUUGGUAACUCCGAUCUUUUUUAAUUUUUUUGUGCUUGUUUUUAACUUAUUUUUUUAGAAGUGUGCAAAAUUUGAGUUAAGAUCGACGGUUUAUUCAUUAGUUAUUGAGGUUUAAAUUUAUUGUAGGAAUUACUAGGGUUUGGUUUAGGAUAUGGUUAGGAUUUGGUUAGGAUUUGGUUUAGGGUUUAGGAUUUGGAUUAGGAUUUGAUUUAGGAUUUAGGAUUUGCUUUAGAAUUUGGUGUUUAGGGUUUAUUUAGGAUUUAGAAUUUGGAUUAGAGUUUGGUUAGGGUUUGAUUUAGGAUUAGAAUUUGAUUUAGGAUUUGAUUAGGAUUUGAUUUAGGAUUUGGUUGGGAUUUGGUUUAAGGUUUGUUUAAGGUUUAAUUUAGGAUUUAGGAUUUUAAUAGGAUUUAAGAUUCAAUUAAUUUUGGCCUAAAGUUUGAAUGAAGUUUCAUAGGAUUUUAACUAGAAUUAAAUUAAGAUUAAAUUGAGAUGUAUUUGAGUGAUAUUUGUGAUCCUUCUAAUAUUCCUUUAAGAAUUCUUAUUGUUUGUUUGAAAUUUCUUUGAGGUUUUUUUGAAUUUAAUUAAGCUUGUUUAGUAUUAUUAUGGUCUAAUUAGAGCAUUGUUAGUAUUCUAUUAGAAUUAGGAUUUUGUUAUUGCAAUUUUCAUUCUUCCUUCUAUAGCCACAUGUCCGGAGCAUUCUCAAGCAAGCCUUCUCGUAU